rnacentral:rRNA from 1 species
UACGUAGGGUGCGAGCGUUAAUCGGAAUUACUGGGCGUAAAGCGUGCGCAGGCGGUUCGUUAAGUUCGAUGUGAAAGCCCCGGGCUCAACCUGGGAACUGCAUUGGAAACUGGCGAGCUUGAAUGCGGCAGAGGGGGGUGGAAUUCCGCGUGUAGCAGUGAAAUGCGUAGAUAUGCGGAGGAACACCGAUGGCGAAGGCAAUCCCCUAGACCUGUACUGACGCUCAUGCACGAAAGCGUGGGGAGCAAACAGG